UACGUAGGGUGCGAGCGUUAAUCGGAAUUACUGGGCGUACAGCGCGCGCAGGCGGCCUCGUAUGUGACCGGUGACAUCCUCGGGCUCAACCCGAGGCGGCCCGGUUAGACAGCGGAGCUGGAGGCAGGGAGAGGGAUGUGGAAUACCCGGUGGAGCGGUGAAAUGCGUAGAGAUCGGGUGGAACACCAGCGGCGAAGGCGGCAUCCUGGCCCUGACCUGACGCUGAGGCGCGAUAGCGUGGGGAGCAAACAGG
rnacentral:rRNA from 1 species